ACAGCCUGACCUAGAGAAGCAGUCCGAUGACGGAAGUGGAUGCCGGGGUAAAGAUAGGAUUUGACUAGACGUCGGGGGAAAGAUAGGAUGCCUGGACAAGGAGCGGCUUCUAGGAUGGCAGUACUCUAAGGUACGGGGGUACAUGAAUUAAUCAAAUUGCACAUCCAAAUAGGGCGGGGAAUGGUUGAUAACAUAUAUGUAAAGAGUUAGAACUAAUGACAUGAGGUGCAUUUUGGUUGUUUGGCUGUGGAGUUAUAGGAACUCCAAAGUUAAACGUGCUUGGUUCAUUGAAUUUUCAGGAUGGGUGGCCUCUUGGGAAGUUCUCGAACCCGCCAAAAGGACAAAACCGGGAGACUAGUAGGGGGCUAAAGCGGACAAAAUCUAAUGUGAUCCGAUUCCGGGUCGUUACAUCAAGGAGCUU
rnacentral:lncRNA from 1 species